rnacentral:ribozyme from 11 species
AAUGAAUGAAUGAAUGAAUCAAAGGAAGGAAUUAUAAAAGGAGGAAACCGGGAUGGAGUCUCGAAGAUUAGCAGUACAUUUUUUUCUUUGCUUUGCCCAUUUUGUUUCUCUUUAUCUCCUUUCCUUUUUCGACUGCAAAU